AGGGGACCUUCAAAGGCCAGCCUGCCUUCCGUGGGCAGGGACACCUUCCCCUCUCAUCCCCGGUUGCUCCGAGUCCCAUCCAGCCUGGCCUGGAACACUUGCAGGGAUCCGGGGGCAGGCUCAGCUUCCCUGUGCAGUGUGCUCUAAUAUCUCUCCACUGGCAUCCUGAAAAAUGUUGUCAGUGUGUUUUGUUGGACGACGCUAGGCAGGACCUGGGUGAAAAGGACAUUCUCUGAGGUGCUGGGAGAAGGAGGACUCGUGCGGGCACCUCCAGAGACAGCGGGAACGGGAGCGUGCUGCGGAGAAGGAAAAUUCCAGGGGAAUUGCCACGAGAGGAAAUACUUCAGAGGGGCUUCCCUCCAGAGAAGCCCUGAAUGUGCCAGGAGGUUUCAGCCGGGAGGAAAGGAGCUGUGGAAGAAAAGCAGCCUAAAAAUAGCCAGCGGGGAUCAUCAGAUUUUCCAGCCAAGAAAAACCAGGAGGGAGAUGAGGGAAUCGGGUUCCAAUUCCUAAAGAUUUGGUGGGUGUAGGAAUGAUUUCUGUGUGUUUUCCAGUCCCUUUUGAUUCCUGGGAUGAUUUUAAAAUGAUGGCUAAAUUGGAGAUGUUGUUUUUGAGAGGAAAUGAUGCCAAAUAAAUGCAGAGUUUGGGGUCAGUUUUUUGGAUGAUUUGGGUCAGUUUUUGGGGUCAGUUUUGGGUCAUUGUUUGGGGUGAUUUGGGUCACUUUUGGGUCAGGUUUUGGGGUCAGUUUUGGGUCAGCUUCUGGGGUGAUUUGGGUCGGUUUUGGGUCGAUUUUUGGGGAGCACUGGGUGUUACUGGGGGUUGUUGGGGAUCACUGGGUGUUACUGGGGAGCACUGGGAGAGAAGAUGAAAAAUAAAGAGAAUAAAAAAUAAACGAAAUAAAAAAAGGAAAUAUAAAAACCAAAAGAAAAUUAAAAAAAAAAAAGGGGCAAAAAAACUAAAAAGGAAAUAAAAUGAAAAUGAAAUAAAAGAG